AUUGAACGCUGGCGGCAGGCCUAACACAUGCAAGUCGAGCGGAUGAAGGGAGCUUGCUCCUGGAUUCAGCGGCGGACGGGUGAGUAAUGCCUAGGAAUCUGCCUGGUAGUGGGGGAUAACGUCCGGAAACGGGCGCUAAUACCGCAUACGUCCUGAGGGAGAAAGUGGGGGAUCUUCGGACCUCACGCUAUCAGAUGAGCCUAGGCCGGAUUAGCUAGUUGGUUGGGUAAAGGCCUACCAAGGCGACGAUCCGUAACUGGUCUGAGAGGAUGAUCAGUCACACUGGAACUGAGACACGGUCCAGACUCCUACGGGAGGCAGCAGUGGGGAAUAUUGGACAAUGGGCGAAAGCCUGAUCCAGCCAUGCCGCGUGUGUGAAGAAGGUCUUCGGAUUGUAAAGCACUUUAAGUUGGGAGGAAGAGAAGUAAGUUAAUACCUGGAUGUUUUGACGUUACCAACAGAAUAAGCACCGGCUAACUUCGUG
rnacentral:rRNA from 1 species